AAACUUACCUGGCUGGGGGGCUCUCGUGAUCAUGAAGACGGGACCCCCCAUGGUGAGGCUUGUCCACUGCACUUCGGGACCGGCUGACCUAUGUGGCAGCUUCGAGUUGAAGUUCGCCAACAGCUAAAUUUUUGCGUGAGGGGCUGCGUUCGCGCGGGCCCCA
rnacentral:snRNA from 1 species